UGGGGAAUAUUGCACAAUGGGCGGAAGCCUGAUGCAGCGACGCCGCGUGAGGGAAGACGGCCUUCGGGUUGUAAACCUCUUUCAGCUCCGACGAAGCGAAAGUGACGGUAGGGGCAGAAGAAGCGCCGGCCAACUACGUGCCAGCAGCCGCGGUAAGACGUAGGGCGCGAGCGUUGUCCGGAUUUAUUGGGCGUAAAGAGCUCGUAGGCGGCUUGUCGCGUCGACUGUGAAAACCCGUGGCUCAACCAUGUGGUCUGCAGUCGAUACGGGCAGGCUAGAAUUCGGUAGGGGAGACUGGAAUUCCUGGUGUAGCGGUGAAAUGCGCAGAUAUCAGGAGGAACACCGGUGGCGAAGGCGGGUCUCUGGGCCGAUAUUGACGCUGAGGAGCGAAAGCGUGGGGAGCGAACA
rnacentral:rRNA from 2 species